rnacentral:rRNA from 1 species
CAUCCAGACUCCUACGGGAGGCAGCAGUGGGGAAUAUUGGACAAUGGGGGGAACCCUGAUCCAGCGACGCCGCGUGAGUGAAGAAGUAUUUCGGUAUGUAAAUCUCUAUCAGCAGGGAAGAAAAUGACGGUACCUGACUAAGAAGCCCCGGCUAACUACGUGCCAGCAGCCGCGGUAAUACGUAGGGGGCAAGCGUUAUCCGGAUUUACUGGGCGUAAAGGGAGCGUAGACGGCGCAGCAAGUCUGAUGUGAAGGGUCGGGGCCCAACCCCGGGACUGCAUUGGAAACUGUUGAACUGGAGUACAGGAGAGGUAAGCGGAAUUCCUAGUGUAGCGGUGAAAUGCGUAGAUAUUAGGAGGAACACCAGUGGCGAAGGCGGCUUACUGGACUGUAACUGACGUUGAGGCUCGAAAGCGUGGGGAGCAAACAGGAUUAGAUACCCCUGUA